GUCAGGAUGGCCGAGCGGUCUAAGGCGCCAGACUUAAGUUCUGGUUCUCUGUGAGGGCGUGGGUUCGAGUCCCACUUCCGACA